rnacentral:RNase_P_RNA from 1 species
AAGCAAACCGGUUCUAUCGCUGUCUUGCCCUUAGGCGGGAGAGAGGAAAGUCCGGGCAAUAUAGAGCAACACGCUUCCUAACGGGAAGGCUCUUAUGUGAAUAAGAGACAGAAAGUGCCACAGAAAAAAUACCGCUACGACGUUUGUCGCAGUAAGGGUGAAAACGUGAGGUAAGAGCUCACGGUCUUGUAUGGUGACAUGCAUUACGGUAAACCUCGUGUGUUGAAAGACCAAAUAGGUUGCGAACCUCGAAGGCUGCUCGUCUUCUCCCGACUUGUCGGGAUUCGUAAUGGGUAGGUUGAUGGAGCUUGUAUGUGAAUGCAAGCCUAGAUAAAUGAUAGAAAUCCAAAAUAAUUCGGAUACAGAACCCGGCUUAUAAGGUUUGCUUCUUU